CAGUCGCCGCGGGAAUACCAGCACCUCGAGUGGUCAGGAGGUUUAUUGGGCCUAAAGCAUCCGUAGCCGGUUGCAUAAGUUUUCGGUUAAAUCUAUGCGCUUAACGUAUAGGCCGCCGAAAAUACUGUGCAGCUAGGGAGUGGGAGAGGUACACGGUACUCGAUAGGAAGGGGUAAAAUCCUUUGAUCUAUUGAUGACCACCUGUGGCGAAGGCGGUGUACCAGAACACGUUCGACGGUGAGGGAUGAAAGCGUGGGGAGCAAACAGGAUUAGAUACCCGCGUAGUCCCUGUCUCUUAUAC
rnacentral:rRNA from 1 species